GAGGCUGAGAGAGGAGAGUCGCUUGAACCCAGGAGGCGGAGGUUGCAGUGAGCUGAGGUCACACUGUUGCACUCCAGCCUGAGUGACAGAGUGAGAUUCCAUCUCAAAAAAAUAAAGUAAAAAAUAAAUAAGAAAAAUAAAAAUAAUUUGGCAGGCAGGGGCUUGGGAAGUGGGGAGUGCUGAUGGGUCAGGUUGGAGAUGGAAUCAUAGGGGGUUGAAGUAAGGUUUUCUUGCUGUCUUCUGUUCCUGGGUUGAAUGGCAGAACUGGUUGAGCCCAGUUACCGGUCUGGUUAGUGUCAGCUGAUCCAUGGAGUGCAGGAUUUGCAAAAUAUCUCAAGCACUGAUCUUAGGUUUUACAGCAGUGUUGUUAUCCCCAGGAGCAAUUUGGGGGUGUUCAGAUUCUUGGAGCCAGGGACUGCAUGACCCCUGAAGUGUAAUUUCUAAUCUUGUAGCUAAUUUGUUAGUCCUGCAAAGGCAGACUGGCCCUCAGGCAAGAAGAGGGUCUUUUUGGGAAACGGCUAUUAUCAAUUUUGUUUCCGAGUCAAACCAUGAACUGAGUUCCUUUCCAAAGUUAGUUUGGCCUACACCCAGGAAUGAACAAGGACAGCUUAAAGGUUAGAUGCAAGAUGGAGUCGGUUAGGUCUGAUUUCUUUCACUGUCAUAAUUUCCUACUAUAAUUUUGCAAAGGCGGUUUCAUUAUUACAGCAAUCUCUAAUACAAUGGCAGAGCUGGGAUAUGAAGCAUCAGAUGUGUUAGGAGCCAAAGCCUUUGCUAUUUUCUCUAUGGUGUAGGUUGUUGGUAACUACAGGUGAGAAAAUACAGUAAAAAUGUCAGACCCUAAAUAAAAAAAUGAGGAACAAAUGCUUGUUAUUAAUGUUAUUCAUGGUUGCUUUAUUAUUAUAUUGAUGAUACUAAGUCAUUUCAGGGUUGUUGGGGGAUAUUUAGGAACUAUAGUGCCCAGGCUUCUGAGAGAGACAUCCUUAGGCAAAAAUAUAAUAUUACGUAGCCCCCAUAGGUGCCUGACAUUUUAAAACUUAUAUUUUCCAACCCGUGACUUCAUUAAGGCAAUUAAAGAUGGCCAGGCACGGUGGCUCACGCCUGUAAUCGCAGCACUUUGGGAGGCCGAGGCGGGCAGAUCACCUGAGGUCGGGAGUUUGAGAUCAGCCCGACCAAAAUGGAGAAACCCUGUCUGUACUAAAAAUACAAAAUUACUCGGGCGUAGUGGUGCAUGCCUAUAAUCCCAGCUACUCAGGAGGCUGAGGCAGGAGAACUGCUUGAACCCAGGAGGCAGAGGUUGUGGUGAGCCAAGAUCGCGCCGUUGCACUCUAGCCUGGGCAACAAGAGCAAAACUCCGUCUCAAAAAAAUAAAUAAAUAAAAUAAAAAAGACAAUUAAAGACUAGUGUGGCAGAAAGUAUUAUCCUCACUUCGUAGUUGAGUAACCAGCUCAGAAAAACGAAGUGAUUUGCCCAAGAUCAUACAGCUGAGGAGCUGAUUGGCAGAUCUGGAACGCGGUCUGCUUGGCUCCAGGUCGAGUGCUUCUAAUAACUCCAGAAGAGAGUCCACUUAUGUCCCCAUCCAUUCACCCCAUACCACUCCCAUCAGCACGGCGGGGGGUGUGCCUGGCAGAUGGAGCAUGAUCAGGAAAUGCAGGCAGAAGGCAGGAAGGGCUGAGAGGAGUGGAGGGUGGAAAAUUAACUACAGCAGCUUGUUAGGGCAGGGCCCCAAUAACUUUUUCUUUUUCUUUUUUUUUUUUGAGAUGGAGUCUCACUCUGUAGCCCAGGCUACAGUGCAGUGGUGCCAUCUCUGGUCACUGCAACCUCUGUCUCCCGGGUUCAAGCGAUUCUCCUGCCUCAGCCUCCUGAGUAGCUGGGAUUACAGGCAGGUACCACUGUGCCUGGCUAAUUUUUGUAUUUUUAGUAGAGAUGGGGUUUCACCAUGUUGGCCAGGCUGGUCUUGAACUCCUGCCCUCAAGUGAUCCGCCCACCUCAACCUCCCAAAAUGCUGGGAUUACAGGUGUGAGCCACUGCACCCGACCCCCAAUAACUUUAGAAAUUAACAGGCUAACCAGAGGUGGCUCCCAGGCUCCCACCCACCUACCUCCUAGGCACUCCCACACCCCAGAUGCACAUGCCCUGGGCAGCCACACCCUGACAGAGAAGACAUGGCAAGUGGCAGGGCUCAGUGAGAAGGCCCCCAGCCUGGUCCCCAAAACUAAGCAGCCCAGGAACUAGUGCCAGGCAGCCCUUAGCUCACCUUUGGGCAGAUAGCACCUCAAAUAAGAUGGGGACCUACUUAACCUUAGCCAAAAGGACACCACAGACACAAUGUGCCCUUUCUUUUUACAGCUCUCCUAAAAAACAGUUCUUAUUCUCCCUCAUCCCCUAGUGAACCCUGAAACCAGACUGCAGAGGCUGGAGCACGGGGACCCGGCCUUCCACAUUCACUAACUGCACUUUUUUCUUUUUUUGAGACAGGGUCUCGCUCUGUCACCCAGGCUGGAGUGCAAUGGUGCAGUCUUGGCUCCCUGCAGUCUCCCGAGUAACUGGGACCACAGGCGCAUACCACCAUGUCCGGCUAAUUUUUUUUUUUUAUUUUUAGUAGAGACAGGGUUUUGCCAUGUUGCCCAGGUUGGUCUCAAACUCCUGAGCUCAAGCGAUCCGCCCUCCUUGACCUCCCAAAGUGCUGGGAUUACAGGCAUGAGCCACUGAGCCUACCCUGAUGGUAUAUUUUGACUACCCAUGAGUCAAUAAAAAUUUAAAAGUCACAUGCAUGGGUUUUUUCCCCCUGAUUUUAAAGUAAGUUAUGGUUCUGCUGGCACAUCAGAGAUUUACUGUGCACUUGAAAGACAUUUAUAUAGUACCUCCCACGUGCUAGUUCCUGUUCUUUUUAUUUUAUUUUAUUUAUUUAUUUUUUGAGACCGAGUCUCACCGUGUUGCCCAGGCUGGAGUGCACUGGUGUAAUCUUGGCUCACUGUAACCUCUGCCUCCUGGGUUCAAGUGAUUCUCCUGCCUCAGCCUGCUGAGUAGCUGGGACUAAAGGCACCCACCACCACGCCCGGCUAUUUUUUUUUUUUUUUUUUUUGUAUUUUUAGUAAAAAUGGGGUUUCUCCAUGUUGGCCAGGCUGGUCUCAAACUCCUGACCUCAAAUGAUCCGCCCACCUCAGCCUCCAAAAGUGCUGGGAUUACAGGCAUGAGCCACCAUGCCCGGCCUCACUAGUUCCUGUUCUGAGUACAAGUGUUAAUUCAUUUAGUUCUCACAACCCUUUAAGGUAAGUUCUUAUACCCAUUUUACAGAUGAGGAAACUGUGGCCCAGAGAGGUCAAGGAACUUGUUAAGGAACAGCCAGAGUGUGACAGAGUAAGGAUUUAAACUAACGCAGUCCAUGAUAAUCUCUCCAUUCCUUUGCUUUUCUAAAUGCUUUAUAUAAACCAUCUCUGCCUGAGCUGGUGACAGUGUCAGGGUAGAUUCGGAAAACACCCUGCUUUUGACCCUCAGCACACUUUGGGGACUCUCCUUUCACUGUCUAUGCCCAGCUAGACUGUAGACCUGCUGAGGGCAGGUCUGUGUCUCUCUGAGUUAAUGGUGCAUCCCCUGUGCCUAGUACUGAGCCUGGUAUACCUGGUGCUCCUCAGCUGUUGGGGCAGUGAAUGCUGAGUAAGUUGAGGCACUAUUAACCCCACCACAUGCUUCAGAAACUGAUGCUCAGAGACAUUGACUUGGUCAAGAACACACGGCUGUGAGUUAUAGCCAACAUGAGCCUGUGGCUUUCUACCUCCAGGUUCUACACUAGACAUAUACCACUUAUUCUUUUUAUUCCUCCUCGCCUUCUUUGUGGUGGUGAGAUCACUUAUUCUUUGCAGUGACUGCAUUUAUCACUAAAAUGGAGUUGCUAUAACCGAUGGGCAUUUAGGUUCUUGAUAAUCUUUCACUCUUACAGACAGCUGUAAUGAAACCUUCGUCCUUAGCUUUGCUCACUUCUUGAAGCAUUUCUAAAGCCCAAAUCCCUAGAUUGAAAUCACUGGGUCUACACAUUUUAAGUGUUUUUUGUUUUGUUUCGUUUUGUUUUUGAGAGGGAGUCUCACUCUAUUUCUCAGGCUGGAGUGCAGCGGCACGAUCUCGGCUCACUGCCACCUCUGCCUCCUGGGUUCAAGUGAUUCUCCUGCCUCAGCCUCCCAAGUAGUUGGGAUUACAGGCGCACGGCACCACGCCCGGCUAAUUUUUGUAUUUUUAGUAGAGACAGGGCUUCACCAUAUUGGCCAGGCUGGUCUCAAACUCCUGAUCUCAGGUGAUCUGCCCACCUCGGCCUCCCACAGUGCUGGGAUUACAGGCAUGAGCCACCGCGCCUGGCCUACUACUAGUGAGAGGUGACAGCGUGCUGGCAGUCCUCACAGCCCUUGCUCGCUCUCGGCGCCUCCUCUGCCUGGGCUCCCACUUUGGCGGCACUUGAGGAGCCCUUCAGCCCACCGCUGCACUGUGGGAGCCCCUUUCUGGGCUGGCUAAGGCGGGAGCCGGCUCCCUCAGCUUGCAGGGAGGUGUGGACCGAGAGGAGCGAGCGGGAACCUGGGCUGCGCGCGGCGCUUGCGGGCUAGCUGGAGUUCCGGGAGGGCGUGGGCUUGGCGGGCCCCGCACUCGGAACAGCCGGCCGGCCCUGCCGGACCCGGGCAAUAAGAGGCUUAGCACCCAGGCCAGCGGCUGCGGAGGGUGUACUGGGUCCCCCAGCAGUGCCAGCCCACCGGCGCUGCGCUCGAUUUCUCACCGGGCCUUAGCUGCCUUCCCGCGGAGCAGGGCUCGGGACCUGCAGCCCUGCCAUGCCUGAGCCUCCCACCUCCUCCAUGGGCUCCUGUGCGGCCCGAGCCUCCCCGAUGAGCGCCGCCCCCUACUCCACGGCGCCCAGUCCCAUCGACCACCCAAGGGCUGAGGAGUGCGGGCGCAUGGCGUGGGACUGGCAGGCAGCUCCACCUGCAGCCCCGGUGCGGGAUCCACUGGGUAAAGCCACCUGGGCUCCUGAGUCUGGUGGGGACGUGGAGAACCUUUAUGUCUAGCUCAGGGAUUGUAAAUACACCAAUCGGCACUCUGUAUCUAGCUCAAGGUGUGUAAACACACCAAUCAGCACCCUGUGUCUAGCUCAGGGUUUGUGAACGCACCAAUCGACACUCUGUAUCUAGCUACUCUGGUGGGGCCUUGGAGAACCUUUGUGUUGAUACUCUGUAUCUAACUAAUCUGGUGGGGACGUGGAGAACCUUUGGGUCUAGCUCAGGGAUUGUAAACGCACCAAUCGGCGUCCUGUCAAAACAGACCACUAGGCUCUACCCAUCAGCAGGAUGUGGGUGGGGCCAGAUAAGAGAAUAAAAGCAGGCUGCCCGAUCCAGCAGUGGCAACCCGCUUGGGUCCCUUUCCACACUGCGGAAGCUUUGUUCUUUCACUCUGCAAUAAAUCUUGCUGCUACUCACUCUUUGGGUCCACACUGCUUUUAUGAGCUGUAACACUCACCCCGAAAGUCUGCAGCUUCACUCCUGAAGCCAGCGAGACCACAAGCCCACCAGGAGGAACGAACAACUCCAGACAAGCCGCCUUAAGAGCUGUAACAGUCACCGCGAAGGUCUGCAGCUUCACUCCUGAGCCAGAGACAUCACGAACCCACCAGAAGGAAGAAACUCCGAACAUAUCUGAACAUCAGAAGGAACAAACUCCAGACGCACCACCUUAAGAGCUGUAACACUCACCGCGAGGGUCCGCGGCUUCAUUCUUUAAGUCAGUGAGACCAAGAACCCACCAAUUACGGACACGCUAGGUUGCUAUCUAAACAGGUGCGACCAGCUUACCUCCCUUCUCCUAAGGUAUGAGAAUCCCUGUUUUCUGUACUGUGUGUGUUCAACUUUAAAACUCCCCAGAGACUGUAUUCGAGGUUUCUGGGACAGUUUCUAAAGGUGUUUAAACUGUAAAGGAUUUCUCCUAACAGAACCUACCUUCUUGACAGCUCUCAAAAAUGUUUUUAUUUUUGAGACUUUUUAAAAGAGCUGGCCAGGCACAGUAGCGCACUGCUGUAAUCCCAGCACUUUGGGAGGCCAAGGUGGGUGGAUCACCUGAGGUCAGGGGUUCGAGACCAGCCUGGCCAACAUGGUGAAAUCCCGUCUCUACUAAAAAUACAAAAAUUAGCUAGGCAUGGUGGCGCACGCCUGUAAUCCCAGCUACGUGGGAGGCUGAGGCAUGAGCACUGCUUGAAGCCAGAAGGUGGAGGUUGCAGUGACCCGACACUAGCAACUGCACUCUAGCUUGGGUAAGACAAGACUAUGUCUCAAAUAAAUAAAUAAAUAUUACAAAUAAAUAAGACCUCUGCAGUUUAUUCCUCUGGGAAUUAGGUCCAGCUCCCCAUGUCCAUUAAACCUAUGUGAACAUGCGCAACCAGGCCUGAACUACAUUUGUGUGUUGAUGUAGAGAAAAAGGAGGCAGGGCUGCAACAAAGUCCACCCAGAGGUCUGCUUCCCCCAUCAUUCACCAAGAAACCAGCUGCCACAACAGCUCUGAGUGGGAGUUUCUUUUCAUGUUGUUUCCAAAAAUAAAAGCCAUAGUCAGCUUGGGAAGAACUUUUCAUCAAGCAGAACAGAGAAACAGUAGAAAAGAUUCAAAGAGUUGGUGAGAUUAUCCAGUCCAACCCCAUCGUUUAUUACAGGAGGAAAUUGAAACCCAGAGAUGUUGAGUGACUAGUUCAAGGUCACACAAAAGAGUGGAAAAACCAGCAGCAGAACCCACCUCAAAGCCAGGUGCUCUAACUUCCAGCUGAGCAUCUUAGUCCAUUUUGUGCUGCUAUAACACAAGACCACAGACUGGGUAACUUAUAAAGAA
rnacentral:lncRNA from 10 species